UACAGAGGGGGCAAGCGUUGUUCGGAAUUACUGGGCGUAAAGGGCGCGUAGGCGGCCUGUUAAGUCGAACGUGAAAUCCCCGGGCUCAACCCGGGAACUGCGUCCGAUACUGGCAGGCUUGAAUCCGGGAGAGGGAUGCGGAAUUCCAGGUGUAGCGGUGAAAUGCGUAGAUAUCUGGAGGAACACCGGUGGCGAAGGCGGCAUCCUGGACCGGCAUUGACGCUGAGGCGACGAAAGCGUGGGGAGCGAACAGG
rnacentral:rRNA from 1 species